UGGGAUAUAGCUCAGAGGUAGAGUGCUUGCCUAGCAUGCAGGAGACCCUAGGUAAAAUCCCUAGUACUACAA
rfam:Ictidomys tridecemlineatus contig012084, whole genome shotgun sequence.